rnacentral:rRNA from 1 species
GUGUCAGCCGCCGCGGUAAUACCGGCAGCUCGAGUGAUGACCGAUUUUAUUGGGCCUAAAGCGUCCGUAGCUGGCCGCGCAAGUCUGUCGGGAAAUCCACCCGCUUAACGGGUGGGCGUCCGGCGGAAACUGUGCGGCUUGGGACAGGAAGGCUCGAGGGGUACGUUCGGGGUAGGAGUGAAAUCCCGUAAUCCUGAACGGACCACCGAUGGCGAAAGCACCUCGAGAGGACUGAUCCGACAGUGAGGGACGAAAGCUGGGGUCUCGAACCGGAUUAGAUACCCCCGUAGUCC